rnacentral:misc_RNA from 1 species
GCAGAAGGAUCAUUAGUGAAGACUUGGGCAGGCCAUACGGACGCCAAAAAGUGUCCCUGGCCGCCUACACCCACUAUACAUCCACAAACCCGUGUGCACUGUCUUGGAGAAAGGCUUCAGAGAAGUUUUUUGUGGCCUCUCUUGGGGUCUUUCUUCGCUACAAACUCGAAUGGUUAGUAUGAACGUGGAACUUGGUUGGACCGUCACUGGCCAACAAACUAUACACAACUUUCGACAACGGAUCUCUUGGUUCUCCCA